rnacentral:rRNA from 1 species
UUGUCUUAGUAACGGCGAGUGAAGCGACAAAAGCUCAAAUUUGAAAUCUGGCACCUUCGGUGUCCGAGUUGUAAUUUGAAGAAGGUAACUUUGGAGUUGGCUCUUGUCUAUGUUCCUUGGAACAGGACGUCACAGAGGGUGAGAAUCCCGUGCGAUGAGAUGUCCAACUCUAUGUAAAGUGCUUUCGAAGAGUCGAGUUGUUUGGGAAUGCAGCUCUAAGUGGGUGGUAAAUUCCAUCUAAAGCUAAAUAUUGGCGAGAGACCGAUAGCGAACAAGUACAGUGAUGGAAAGAUGAAAAGAACUUUGAAAAGAGAGUGAAAAAGUACGUGAAAUUGUUGAAAGGGAAGGGUUUGAGAUCAGACUUGGUAUUUUGUAUGUCUUGCUUUCGGGUGGGGCCUCUGCAGUUUACUGGGCCAGCAUCGGUUUGGACGGUAGGAUAAUGACAUUGGAAUGUGGCACUACUUCGGUGGUGUGUUAUAGACUUUGUUGAUACUGCCUGUCUAGACCGAGGACUGCGUCUUUGACUAGGAUGCUGGCAUAAUGAUCCUAAACCGCCCG